UACGAGGGAUCCUAGCGUUGUUCGGAAUCAUUGGGCGUAAAGCGCACGUAGGCGGUUCGUUAAGUCGGAUGUGAAAGCCCUCGGCUCAACUGAGGAAGUGCACCCGAAACUGGCGAGCUUGAGUACGAAAGAGGAUCGCGGAAUUCCCGGUGUAGAGGUGAAAUUCGUAGAUAUCGGGAGGAACACCGGUGGCGAAGGCGGCGAUCUGGGUCGAUACUGACGCUGAGGUGCGAAAGCGUGGGGAGCAAACAGG
rnacentral:rRNA from 1 species